rnacentral:rRNA from 1 species
ACGGGAGGCAGCAGUCGGGAAUAUUGCGCAAUGGAGGCAACUCUGACGCAGCGACGCCGCGUGCAGGAAGAAGGUUUUCGGAUUGUAAACCGCUUUAGACAGGGAAGAAAAAAGACAGUACCUGUAGAAUAAGCUCCGGCUAACUACGUGCCAGCAGCCGCGGUAAUACGUAGGGACCGAGCGUUAUCCGGAUUUAUUGGGUGUAAAGGGUGCGUAGACGGGAAAUUAAGUUAGUUGUGAAAUCCCUCGGCUUAACUGAGGAACUGCAACUAAAACUGAUUUUCUUGAGUACUGGAGAGGAAAGCGGAAUUCCUAGUGUAGCGGUGAAAUGCGUAGAUAUUAGGAGGAACACCAGUGGCGAAGGCGGCUUUCUGGACAGAAACUGACGUUGAGGCACGAAAGUGUGGGGAGCAAACAGGAUUAGAUACCCUGGUA